rnacentral:rRNA from 1 species
GAUGAACGCUGACAGAAUGCUUAACACAUGCAAGUCUACUUGAUUCUACUUCGGUAGUUGAUGGUGGCGGACGGGUGAGUAACGCGUAAAGAAUCUGCCCUUUAGUUUGGGAUAACCUUUGGAAACGAAGGCUAAUACCGGAUAUUAUGGAGACGACGCAUGGCGACUCCAUGAAAGCUAUAUGCGCUAGAGAAGGACUUGGCGUCCCAGUAGUUAGUUGCUGAGGUAAUGGCACACCAAGACCGCGAUAGGUAACCGGCCUGAGCGGGUGAUCGGCCACAAGGGAAAUGAGAAACGGUCCUUACUCCUACGGGAGGCAGCAGUGGGGAAUAUUGGACAAUGGGCCACAAGCCUGAUCCAGCAAUUCUGUGUGCACGAUGAAGGUCUUCGGAUUGUAAAGUGCUUUCAGUAGGGAAGAAAAAAAUGACGGUACCUACAGAAGAAGCGACGGCUAAAUAUGUGCCAGCAGCCGCCGUAA